UUCAAGUGUCAAGUCACUGAGCCACCAAAAUGCUCGUGUCACUGAGACUACCUUCUCUGACCUCGCUCUUCUCGCCCUCCAUCUCCGGCCGUUAUCCGGCGGUGCUCCUGCGACGCUACCACCGUUGGUUCCCGGUAUUCGCAGCCGGUUUCUCGGCUCAGAGCACGGUGUCGGUGUCCAACGAGGACGCAGUCCAUAGUCAAAAGAGUAACCGAGUCCAGGACCGAGGUGUUACACCUCGGUCACAGGACUUCAAUGCUUGGUACCUUGAUGUCAUUGAACAAGCUAAGCUCGCCGAUUAUGGUCCGGUUCGGGGAACCAUGGUCAUUCGUCCCUACGGUUACGCCAUUUGGGAAGCCAUUCAGGAUUAUCUGAUUAUGAAAUUCAAGGAGACUGGUCACAGUAACAUGUAUUUCCCACAGUUUAUACCAUACUCGUUUAUAGAGAAAGAAGCUAGCCAUGUUGAAGGUUUUAGUCCUGAGUUAGCACUUGUGUCUAUAGGAGGAGGGAAGGACCUUGAAGAGAAACUUGUGGUUCGACCCACGAGUGAAACCAUAGUCAAUUACAUGUUCACCCAGUGAAUUCAUAGUUACUGUGAUCUUCCACUUAUGGUUAACCAAUGCUUUUGGGCAAAUGUCACGAGAUGGGAGAUGCGGACAAAACCUUUUGUGAGGACUCUUGAAUUUCUCUGGCAGGAGGGACACACAGUUCAUGCCACUCUAGAGGAGGCAGAAAAAGAGGCUAUACAGAUGAUUGAUGUGUAUACAAAAUUUUCUUAUGAGCAAGCUGCAAUACCUGUUAUUGCAGGUCGAAAGUCAAAAGUGGAAACAUUUGCUGGUGCUAUUAGGACCUACACAAUAGAGGCUAUGAUGGGUGAUCGAAAGGCAUUACAGGCUGGAACCAGCCACAAUCUUGGGCAGAAUUUUUCUCGUGCAUUUGAAACACAGUUUACUGAUGAAAGUGGACAGAGGCAACAUGUGUGGCAGACUUCAUGGGCUGUCAGUACCUGUUUUGUUGGCGGUAUUAUUAUGACCCGUGGAGAUGUUACAGGGUUAAUGCUUCCCCCAAAGAUUGCACCAAUACAGGGAAAGUCGGUAAUCAUACCAAUUUGGAAGAAGGAUGAUGAUAGAGCAGGAGUUCUCAAUGCUGCAUCAUCUGUGAAAGAAGCGCAGGCUGCAGGGAUUAAAGUUAAACUUGAUGAAUCUGAUCAGAGAAGCCCAGGAUGGAAAUUCAAUUUCUGGGAGAUGAAGGGAGUUCCUUUGAGGAUUGAAAUUGGUCCUCAUGAUGUUUCAAGUGGGAGUGUGGUUGUAUCUAGAAGAGAUGUUCCUGGAAAGCAAGGGAAAGUUUUUGGAAUAUCCAUGGAGCCUUCAAAUUUGGAGGCUUAUGUGAAGGACAAGUUGGAUGAGAUCCAGUCAUCUCUUUUGAGACGAGCAGAAUCAUUUCGAGAUAGCAAUAUUGUGGAUGUAAGCUCAUAUGAUGAACUCAAAGUUGCAAUCUCCCAGGGCAAAUGGGCAAGAGGUCCUUGGUCCGCCAGUAACGAAGAUGAGUUAAAAGUAAAAGAGGAAACCGGGGCAACGAUAAGAUGUUUUCCCUUUGAACAGCCGCUAGGGAUUAAAAGAUGCUUGAUGACUGGUAAUCCUGCAGAGGAAGUUGCCAUUUUUGCAAAGUCAUACUAAGUUUCUAGGUUUCCCACGGAUCACAACACCCAACCGGUAUCGUUACUACUCAGUCUGUGUUUUGUCAAACUUUCUUUCAAUAGACUAUAGAAGAUCGACCAAACAAUGGCACAUACAUCUAUAAAUUGUCGAAAGUGGUUCAUUUGCUAAAUUCCUUGAUUCUUCUCCUCUUUGGAGGAGGAUGAUUGAGAUGUAUUGUUAUUGUUUUUAGGUCAUCAAGAAAGUAUUGUACGUUUUGUUUGGGGCUCUGGGAUUCUCCAUUUUGAUUCUCCAGAAAUUGUUUGUCUUAUAAUACUUACAAGAUGUUCAAAGCA